AUUCCAGCUCCAAUAGCGUAUACUAAAGUUGUUGCAGUUAAAAAGCUCGUAGUUGAAUUUCUGGUCGUGAAAAGUGGUCCGUUCCGCAAGGAAUGUGUACUGUCUAUUCAUGUCCAUCCUCGGAGUUAGUGUGUAUUACUCUAAUCGGUCGUGCAUGCAAAACUUCGUCAUUUACUGUGAGCAAAAUAGAGUGUUCAAAGCAGGCUUAUGCCGUUGAAUAUAUUAGCAUGGAAUAAUAAGAUAUGACUUUGGUCUAUUUUGUUGGUUUGCACUCCAAAGUAAUGAUUAAUAGGGAUAGUUGGGGGUAUUCGUAUUCAAUUGUCAGAGGUGAAAUUCUUGGAUUUAUGGAAGACGAACUACUGCGAAAGCAUUCACCAAGGAUGUUUUCAUUA
rnacentral:rRNA from 1 species